rnacentral:rRNA from 1 species
UACGUAGGGGGCAAGCGUUGUCCGGAUUUAUUGGGCGUAAAGAGCGUGUAGGCGGCCAGAUAGGUCCGUUGUGAAAACUGGAGGCUUAACCUCCAGCGGUCGAUGGAAACCAUUUGGCUAGAGUCCGGAAGAGGAGAGUGGAAUUCCUGGUGUAGCGGUGAAAUGCGCAGAUAUCAGGAAGAACACCCGUGGCGAAGGCGGCUCUCUGGGACGGUACUGGCGCUGAGACGCGAAAGCGUGGGGAGCGAACAGG